rnacentral:misc_RNA from 1 species
AACGCACAUUGCGCCCCUUGGUAUUCCGAGGGGCAUGCCUGUUCGAGCGUCAUUAUAGCCCUCAAGCCUAGCUUGGUAUUGGAGUCGCUGUACAGCGGCCCCUAAAAUCAGUGGCGGUGCCUGUAGGUUCUACGCGUAGUAAUUUUUCUCGCUAUAGAUCCCUAUAAGUGCUUGCCAACGACCCCAAUUUUUUCAGGUUGACCUCGGAUCAGGUAGGGAUACCCGCUGAACUUAA